AUUGAACGCUGGCGGCAGGCUUAACACAUGCAAGUCGAGCGGGGUGAUGGUGCUUGCACUAUCACUUAGCGGCGGACGGGUGAGUAAUGCUUAGGAAUCUGCCUAUUAGUGGGGGACAACAUCUCGAAAGGGAUGCUAAUACCGCAUACGUCCUACGGGAGAAAGCAGGGGAUCACUUGUGACCUUGCGCUAAUAGAUGAGCCUAAGUCGGAUUAGCUAGUUGGUGGGGUAAAGGCCUACCAAGGCGACGAUCUGUGGCGGGUCUGAGAGGAUGAUCCGCCACGCUGGGACUGAGACACGGCCCAGACUCCUACGGGAGGCAGCAGUGGGGAAUAUUGGACAAUGGGGGGAACCCUGAUCCAGCCAUGCCGCGUGUGUGAAGAAGGCCUUAUGGUUGUAAAGCACUUUAAGCGAGGAGGAGGCUCUUUUGGUUAAUACCCAAGAUGAGUGGACGUUACUCGCAGAAUAAGUACCGGCUAACUCUGUGCCAGCAGCCGCAGUAA
rnacentral:rRNA from 1 species